UGAGUACGAGACGCUAAGGCGUCGAAGUAGUGGAUGUCAUACUUCCAAGAAAAGCUUGCACUGUCAUAAGUAAAAAACGCCUGUACCAUAACCGACACAGGUGGGUAGGUAGAGUAUACUAAGGGGCGCGAGAUAACUCUCUCUAAGGAACUCGGCAAAAUAACUCCGUAACUUCGGGAGAAGGAGUGCCUUAUUCGUAAGGCUGCAAUAACAAGAUCCAAGCAACUGUUUAUCAAAAACACAGGUCUCCGCUAAGUCGUAAGACGAUGUAUGGGGGCUGACGCCUGCCCAGUGCCAGAAGGUUAAAGAAGUCGGUUAGCAUUAGCGAAGCUGGUAACUGAAGCCCUGGUGAACGGCGGCCGUAACAAUAACGGUCCUAAGGUAGCGAAAUUCCUUGUCGGGUAAGUUCCGACCCGCACGAAAGGCGUAAUGAUUUGGAUACUGUCUCGGAGAGGGGCUCGGUGAAAUAGACUUGUCUGUGAAGAUGCGGACUACCUGCACCAGGACAGAAAGACCCUAUGAAGCUUUACUGUAACUUGAAAUUGAAAUUGGACUUUAUUCGCGCAGUAUAGGUGGGAGGUGUUGAUUAUAAUCUUGCGGGAUUAUUGGAGCCAUCAGUGAGAUACCACUCUUGUAAUGUUAGAUUUCUAACUUUGAAUCAUUAUCUGGUCAAAGAACAGUUUCAGGCGGGCAGUUUUGACUGGGGCGGUCGCCUCCUAAAUGGUAACGGAGGCGUACAAAGGUUUCCUCUGAACGGGUAGAAAUCGUAUCUAGAGUGUAAAGGCAUAAGGAAGCUUGACUGUGAGACCUACAAGUCGAGCAGGGACGAAAGUCGGUCUUAGUGAUCUGACGGUACUGAGUGGAAAGGCCGUCACUCAACGGAUAAAAGUUACUCUAAGGAUAACAGGCUGAUCUCCCCCAAGAGUUCACAUCGACGGGGAGGUUUGGCACCUCGAUGUCGGCUCAUCGCAUCCUGGGGCGGUAGUACGUCCCAAGGGUUGGGCUGUUCGCCCAUGAAAGCGGUACGCGAGCUGGGUUCAGAACGUCGUGAGACAGUUCGGUCCAUAUCCGGUGUAGGCGUUAGAAUAUUGAGAGGAGCCUUCUUUAGUACGAGAGGACCGAGAAGGACAUACCUCUGGUGUACCAGUUAUCGUGCCAACGGUAAACGCUGGGUAGCUAUGUAUGGAGUGGAUAACCGCUGAAAGCAUCUAAGUGGGAAGCCCACCUCAAGAUAAGUACUCU
rnacentral:rRNA from 1 species